rnacentral:rRNA from 1 species
GGGUUGUGAGGUUAAGCGACUAAGCGUACACGGUGGAUGCCCUGGCAGUCAGAGGCGAUGAAGGACGUGCUAAUCUGCGAUAAGCGUCGGUGAGGUGAUAUGAACCGUUAUAACCGGCGAUUUCCGAAUGGGGAAACCCAGUGUGUUUCGACACACUAUCAUUAACUGAAUCCAUAGGUUAAUGAGGCGAACCGGGGGAACUGAAACAUCUAAGUACCCCGAGGAAAAGAAAUCAACCGAGAUUCCCCCAGUAGCGGCGAGCGAACGGGGAGGAGCCCAGAGCCUGAAUCAGUGUGUGUGUUAGUGGAAGCGUCUGGAAAGGCGUGCGAUACAGGGUGACAGCCCCGUACACAAAAAUGCACAUACUGUGAGCUCGAUGAGUAGGGCGGGACACGUGGUAUCCUGUCUGAAUAUGGGGGGACCAUCCUCCAAGGCUAAAUACUCCUGACUGACCGAUAGUGAACCAGUACCGUGAGGGAAAGGCGAAAAGAACCCCGGCGAGGGGAGUGAAAAAGAACCUGAAACCGUGUACGUACAAGCAGUGGGAGCCUCUUAAUGGGGUGACUGCGUACCUUUUGUAUAAUGGGUCAGCGACUUAUAUUCUGUAGCAAGGUUAACCGAAUAGGGGAGCCGAAGGGAAACCGAGUCUUAACUGGGCGUUAAGUUGCAGGGUAUAGACCCGAAACCCGGUGAUCUAGCCAUGGGCAGGUUGAAGGUUGGGUAACACUAACUGGAGGACCGAACCGACUAAUGUUGAAAAAUUAGCGGAUGACUUGUGGCUGGGGGUGAAAGGCCAAUCAAACCGGGAGAUAGCUGGUUCUCCCGAAAGCUAUUUAGGUAGCGCCUCGUGAAUUCAUCUCCGGGGGUAGAGCACUGUUUCGGCAAGGGGGUCAUCCCGACUUACCAACCCGAUGCAAACUGCGAAUACCGGAGAAUGUUAUCACGGGAGACACACGGCGGGUGCUAACGUCCGUCGUGAAGAGGGAAACAACCCAGACCGCCAGCUAAGGUCCCAAAGUCAUGGUUAAGUGGGAAACGAUGUGGGAAGGCCCAGACAGCCAGGAUGUUGGCUUAGAAGCAGCCAUCAUUUAAAGAAAGCGUAAUAGCUCACUGGUCGAGUCGGCCUGCGCGGAAGAUGUAACGGGGCUAAACCAUGCACCGAAGCUGCGGCAGCGACGCUGAUGCGUUGUUGGGUAGGGGAGCGUUCUGUAAGCCUGUGAAGGUGGCCUGUGAGGGUUGCUGGAGGUAUCAGAAGUGCGAAUGCUGACAUAAGUAACGAUAAAGCGGGUGAAAAGCCCGCUCGCCGGAAGACCAAGGGUUCCUGUCCAACGUUAAUCGGGGCAGGGUGAGUCGACCCCUAAGGCGAGGCCGAAAGGCGUAGUCGAUGGGAAACAGGUUAAUAUUCCUGUACUUGGUGUUACUGCGAAGGGGGGACGGAGAAGGCUAUGUUGGCCGGGCGACGGUUGUCCCGGUUUAAGCGUGUAGGCUGGUUUUCCAGGCAAAUCCGGAAAAUCAAGGCUGAGGCGUGAUGACGAGGCACUACGGUGCUGAAGCGACAAAUGCCCUGCUUCCAGGAAAAGCCUCUAAGCAUCAGGUAACAUCAAAUCGUACCCCAAACCGACACAGGUGGUCAGGUAGAGAAUACCAAGGCGCUUGAGAGAACUCGGGUGAAGGAACUAGGCAAAAUGGUGCCGUAACUUCGGGAGAAGGCACGCUGAUAUGUAGGUGAAGCGACUUGCUCGUGGAGCUGAAAUCAGUCGAAGAUACCAGCUGGCUGCAACUGUUUAUUAAAAACACAGCACUGUGCAAACACGAAAGUGGACGUAUACGGUGUGACGCCUGCCCGGUGCCGGAAGGUUAAUUGAUGGGGUUAGCGGUAACGCGAAGCUCUUGAUCGAAGCCCCGGUAAACGGCGGCCGUAACUAUAACGGUCCUAAGGUAGCGAAAUUCCUUGUCGGGUAAGUUCCGACCUGCACGAAUGGCGUAAUGAUGGCCAGGCUGUCUCCACCCGAGACUCAGUGAAAUUGAACUCGCUGUGAAGAUGCAGUGUACCCGCGGCAAGACGGAAAGACCCCGUGAACCUUUACUAUAGCUUGACACUGAACAUUGAGCCUUGAUGUGUAGGAUAGGUGGGAGGCUUUGAAGUGUGGACGCCAGUCUGCAUGGAGCCGACCUUGAAAUACCACCCUUUAAUGUUUGAUGUUCUAACGUGGGCCCCUUACCGGGGUUGCGGACAGUGUCUGGUGGGUAGUUUGACUGGGGCGGUCUCCUCCUAAAGAGUAACGGAGGAGCACGAAGGUUGGCUAAUCCUGGUCGGACAUCAGGAGGUUAGUGCAAUGGCAUAAGCCAGCUUGACUGCGAGCGUGACGGCGCGAGCAGGUGCGAAAGCAGGUCAUAGUGAUCCGGUGGUUCUGAAUGGAAGGGCCAUCGCUCAACGGAUAAAAGGUACUCCGGGGAUAACAGGCUGAUACCGCCCAAGAGUUCAUAUCGACGGCGGUGUUUGGCACCUCGAUGUCGGCUCAUCACAUCCUGGGGCUGAAGUAGGUCCCAAGGGUAUGGCUGUUCGCCAUUUAAAGUGGUACGCGAGCUGGGUUUAGAACGUCGUGAGACAGUUCGGUCCCUAUCUGCCGUGGGCGCUGGAGAACUGAGGGGGGCUGCUCCUAGUACGAGAGGACCGGAGUGGACGCAUCACUGGUGUUCGGGUUGUCAUGCCAAUGGCACUGCCCGGUAGCUAAAUGCGGAAGAGAUAAGUGCUGAAAGCAUCUAAGCACGAAACUUGCCCCGAGAUGAGUUCUCCCUGAGACUUAGAGUCUCCUGAAGGAACGUUGAAGACGACGACGUUGAUAGGCCGGGUGUGUAAGCGCAGCGAUGCGUUGAGCUAACCGGUACUAAUGAACCGUGAGGCUUAACCUUACAACGCCGAAG